ACAUUCAAGUUCCCAGACACCAGGUGAACGAGCGAGCUCCUUGUCGGGGGCGGGGCCGGCUGUCCUCACCGAAUUCGCAGCGCCAUCUUCCUCCCGGGACCGGGCCGGCUUCCCUUCUGCCAGCGAGGGAGACUCGCAGGCAAAGGCGGGUGGGGGUGGCGUUCGCUUCCCACGGUGGAAAGAACCGGAGGCAAACACUGUCUGGCUUAGCCCGCAGCCUGGAACACAAUGUCAGGAGACCUGGGGCUGGAGAGCUGGAAAAGUCCCGGGCAGCCUCAGGAUAACCCGGAAUCCCGAAGUGCUGUCUUGGGGAAUUAUUCCCAAGUGCACAAGGGACAGGCUCGAUUUCUUGGAAAUCCUGCGAUCUGGGGACGCAUCCACA
rnacentral:lncRNA from 1 species